UUAUAUAAGUCAUCUUUAACAAAGAACUUCGAGUAUAAAAAUUAUAUAAUUUUAUUAUAGAUAGAAACAUCUUUUAACAUAGUAAAGGUGAUUAAAAUUUUGUGUAUAUUUAACUCUUAAAUAAGUACCGUGAGGGAAUAUUUUAAAUUUUAUCUUAGUAGUAAUUGAUUUACGUACCUUUUGUAUCAUGGUUUAGCUAGAUUUAAAUUUUAAUUAUAAAAAUCUCGAAAUCUAAUGGGCUAUCUUUAGCUAUUAUUUUAGUAAAAUAUGAAUUGAUUGUUGCAAAACUCUUUUUAAAGCUAAAGAUAGAAAUGAAAUUUUAUUCGUAUUAGAUGAUAGCUAGUUUCUGUAGAAAAGUAUAGAAGUACUGAAUUUUAAUAGUAAGCCUAAAAAUUUUUUUGGGCUCGCUUAUAAAAAUUUUAGAUUAUUGAGGAUAAGCUCGAUAAUUAUUAGGAAUUAAUACAUCAAUUUUUUUUUAAAUUUAGGCUUGAAAUUAGCCAAAAUAUAAAAUUUGUUAUAAAUUAUUAAGCAUUAAUAAAAAAAUUUAUAUGUUAUUAUGAACACAGAUAAAACUUAUUAAUUUUUAUAAGUUUAUUUAAUGCUAAAAUGAGUAUUUGUAAAUAUAUAAUAAUCUUAAUACUAUAAAAAUUAAGAUACUAUAUGUUAUUAAAAAACUAAAUUUUAAAAAGGAAUUCAGCAAAAUAAUACUCUGCCUGUUUAUCAAAAACAUGGCUCUUUGUUAAUAUAAUAUAAGGAGUCGGACCUGCCCAGUGAUAAGAAUUUAACGGCCGCGGUACUCUGACCGUGCAAAGGUAGCAUAAUCAUUUGCCCUAUAAUUGAGGGCUGGAAUGAAUGGUUUGACAAGAGUAAUACUGUCUCUUUAAAAUUUCCCAAAAUUUAAUUUAUAGGUCAAGAAUCCUAGAUAAAAUUAAAAGACAAGAAGACCCUAUCGAGCUUUAAAAAAGAGCAUGAAAUAAGAUUAAUAUACUAUUAUAUUUAAAGUCAUCUAAUAUUUUGGUUGGGGCGACUAAGGAACAUUUAAAGCUUCUUAUUUUAUUUAAAACUGAUAAGUUUUGAUCCAGUCAAAUUUACUGAUUAAAAAAAUUAGUUACCGUAGGGAUAACAGCAUAAUCUCUCUUAAGAGCUCAUAUCGAAAGAGAGGUUUGUGACCUCGAUGUUGGACUAGAAUAUCCUAAAGAUGCAGAAGUCUUUAAGGGUUGGUCUGUUCGACCAUUAAAAUUCUACAUGAUCUGAGUUCAGACCGGCGUGAGCCAGGUCAGUUUCUAUCUUUAAUUUCUAAUUUUAAGUUUAGUACGAAAGGACCAACUUAAAACAAAGUUUGUAUACGAAUAGAUAAAUUAUAAUUCGAAUAUAAAUAUAUAAUACUUAAAUUUAUUAAAUA
rnacentral:rRNA from 1 species